rnacentral:rRNA from 1 species
AAAGGUGAAACCUAAUUGGCCUGAAGAAGAGCUUGCGUCUGAUUAGCUAGUUGGUGGGGUAAAGGCCUACCAAGGCGACGAUCAGUAGCUGGUCUGAGAGGAUGAGCAGCCACACUGGGACUGAGACACGGCCCAGACCCCUACGGGAGGCAGCAGUGGGGAAUUUUCCGCAAUGGGCGAAAGCCUGACGGAGCAACGCCGCGUGAGGGAGGAAGGUCUUUGGAUUGUAAACCUCUUUUCUCAAGGAAGAAGUUCUGACGGUACUUGAGGAAUCAGCCUCGGCUAACUCCGUGCCAGCAGCCGCGGUAAUACGGGGGAGGCAAGCGUUAUCCGGAAUUAUUGGGCGUAAAGCGUCCGCAGGUGGUCAGCCAAGUCUGCC